AGAUUGGAGCUCUGAACCCGCCCUCUUGUCAGGGGAUACAGCUGGCUGCAAUUUCCGACUCCUUCUGCAGCUUGAAAAGCCAGUGUUCCUUUGUCAGGAGGAGAGAGAGAGCUUCGUUGUAUGUGUUGGUCUGGGAGUUGCGUUCCCUUCAAGAGGUGUACGUAACACCACUCAAAAAGCUUUUAUAGAUGCAGACCCGAAUACAUUCAAGCUGCACUCUGAGAGCAAGCAUCCCACGUCUCCAAUGGUCCCAGUACUGGUUGAUGUUCAAGCCUAAGUGAUCACACGCACUCAAAUGGACCUACAGCGGGGACACACAAUGACCACGAUUUGAAUGCUGCAACUGAGACAGAAUGACAUCGAGGGAUAUACGCUGAGACCCCGAGUAUGGCUGGACAUGGAAUGAAUAUUUGUGACAACGACCUAAAAGGUGUGCAGAAGCACACCAGGACCCCAUUUUAUAUGUAUUACAUGUCCAACCAUCCCUCUAGAUACCCCUUAUUCCACACUAUGCCUUUUAUGCUCCAUGGUCCCUCAACUUCGGAUAACUUUGGAACGCGCCAUUUUAUCUCUAUAAACACACCCUACCUUCACCCAUUUUUAUUUUUUCUUCUCCCCAUGCUGCUUCACUUGUUGUUCUCCUAAUUUGAUAACAUCUAGACUCAGUACCACGUUUAAGUGUUGUGGUGUACUGUUUUGGCUCACAAUUGUCAGCAGCAAUGUGGACAGUGUUAAAUUGACCAGAAAGGUGUUGAUAUAGCUGCAUUUAGGCAUGGCCUAAAUCUGUUAAGUGUUUCUCAUUCUGCUAGAGUUAACUUUGUAUUUUAUAUUAAACCUACCUUACACAUCCA